CGGGGGGCCGGCUGGGGAAAAAGUGCAUAAGGCAGCCCCUGGAACGCAGUCCCAUCUCUCUAUAGUGGGCCAGACCUCAGAAGGGCGGGGCUGAAGGAGGAAACAGAGAGACUUAGGUAAAGUGACCAGUAAGUUCAGAUAAGAAAGGAUUCAGUCUGAUCAGAAAGAUGCUUGAGGCGCAGAGUCCUGGAGCCAGACAGAGCCGAGUGGGGUGUGGUGAGAAAUGGGAGAAGAGACAGCAGGAAAAUCCCACCUUUUUUAGAAAUGCUAAGCUUUUGAGGCAGGGUGCAUCUGGAGCGGUUUCGGGGAGGAAGUUAAAAAGAAGAACCAGAGGACAAGAACACACGCCAAGCCUGGAAGGGAAACAGAUGCCUUGCAGGGAUCCCUCUCCAAAGCAGAGGCAAGAAAAGGGAGGGCAGGAGUGUUUCCAGUGAAACCCGCCACCUGAGGAGCGCUCACCAGGCCAGGCAGGAAUGCUGGCAAGAGCUGACAGGCUGGAAGUUGUUAUCUGUGCUGAGCGAGUACUUCCACCUUCUUGCGGUUGUUCUCUGAUAAGCUCCAAUUCUGAGAAAAGGUUUUCGAGGCCACCGGAAGUACAGAGUAUGGAUGCACGUUAUGCAAAACACAUUUUUCAGCCCCACCCCACCACCACCCCUGCAGCCUCUACCCUCAGGAAAAGUGAGUACGGAACCACCUGACUCAGCCCACUCCAGUUCUGUGGAAACCUUCACAUGGAGUUUACACCUGCCAGCUCUAUGACCUCAAAGUCCAUCUCAUGCCUGUGAGGUUUAUUGUGACUGUUUUAAUUUUUCUUUCUGUUUAAUUUUUUAAAAAGACUUUAUGUGGGCUGGAGAGAUGGCUCAGCAGUUAAGAGCACUGACUGUUCUUCCGGAGGUCCUGAGUUCAAUUCCCAGCAACCACAUGGUGGCUCACAGCCUUCUGUAAUGAGAUCAGACGCCCUCUUUUGGUGUGUCUGAAGACAGUUACAGUGUACUUACAUAUAAUAAUAAAUAGAUCUUUGGGCCAGAGCGGGUGGGGCCAGAGCGAGCAGAGGUCCUGAAGUUCAAUUCCCAGUAACCACAUGAUGGCUCACAACCAUUUGUACAGCUACAGUGUACUCCUAUACAUAAAAAAGAGACUUUAUGUAUUUAUUUUGUGUGAGACAGUGUCUAAUGCAGGUAGGAACACAAAUGUCAGAAAACAGCUUUCAUGAAUUGAUUUGUUCCCUUCCACUGUGUGGGUCCUGGUGGCGGAACCUGGCUUUGCCUGUGUGCAUCACCUUUUCAUUUAAUUGAUUGAUUGAAUGUUUUUAAAAUUUUUUCCAGACAGGGUUUCUCAGUAUAGUCCUGGUUGUCCUCUGUAGACCAGGCUAGCUUUGAACUUAAAAAGCCACUAGAUUCAACUUUGAGUCAUCUUCUUGGUCCGGGUCUGGAAAUUUUGCUCCAGCAAGGACCUGACUGGAAUAAUUUGAGGAAUUGCUGUUGUUUGUUUGUUUGUUAUACUUUUGAGACAAGGUUGCAAAUUGUAAUCCAAACUGGCCCAGAAAUCACUACAUGGCUCAGAUUGGUCUUGAACUCAUGACACUCCUCUUGCUUUAGCCUCCCAAGUACUGGGUUUACAGCCAUGCAUUACCAUUAUUUUGCUAGUUAUAUAACUAAUUCACUAUGAAUUAAUCUUAAGAAAGGAUCUUGCCAUAGCAUCCAGGCUGGCCUGGAGCUCUGUAUGUAGACAAGCCUGGAGUCCUAGCUUGUUUCUUGUGCCUCAGCCUCCCUCCUAAAUGGUGGGAUUUGAGUGUGUAUCACUAUACUGGGGUAAUGUAGAUAUUUAAAUUUUUAUUUCUGUAUGUGAAUGUUUUGCUUUCAUGUAUGUAUGAGCAUCAUAUGUGUGCCUGGUACUGGCAGACGCCAGCAUCAGAGCCCAUAGAAUUAGAGUCGCAGAAUUGUCACAAAAUGUGGGUACUGGGAAUUGAACCCAGGUCCUCUUCAAGAGCAACUAGUACUAAGUGCUAAGCCAUUUCUCCAGUCCCAACCCAAGAUCAAGUGCUCUUUCUUUCUCUCUCUCUCUCUCUCUC
rnacentral:lncRNA from 1 species